CGGGAGGUACACCAGUGGCGAAGCGCUCUGGGCUGUUUCUGACGCUGAAGCGAAAGCUAGGGGAGCGAACGGGAUUAGAAACCCCGGUAGUCCUAGCCGUAAACGAUGGAUGCUGGGUGUGGGGGGUAUAGAUCCCCUCCGUGCCGAAGCUAACGCGUUAAGCAUCCCGCUGGGGAUUACGGCCGCAAGGCUUAAACUCAAACGAAUUGACGGGGGCCCGCACAAGCAGCGGAGCGUGUGGUUUAAUUCGAUGCUACACGAAGAACCUUACCUGGGCUUGACAUGUAGGUAGUAGUGAAGCGAAAGCGGAACGACCCUUCGGGGAGCCUACACAGGUGCUGCAUGGCUGUCGUCAGUUCGUGCCGUGAGGUGUCGGGUUAAGUCCCGUAACGAACGCAACCCUUGCCCUUAGUUACAUGUGUCUAAGGGGACUGCCCGGGACAACUGGGAGGAAGGUGGGGAUGACGUCAAGUCAGCAUGGCCUUUAUGUCCAGGGCUACACACACGCUACAAUGGCCGGUACAAUGGGUCGCCAAGCCGUGAGGCGGAGCCAAUCCCCCAAAGCCGGUCUAAGUUCGGAUUGUGGGCUGCAACUCGCCCAUAUGAAGCUGGAGUUGCUAGUAACCGCGCGUCAGCAAUAGUGCGGUGAAUACGUUCCCGGGCCUUGUACACACCGCCCGUCACGUCAUGGAAGCUGGCAACACCUGAAGCCAGUGAGCUAACCCGCAAGGGGGGCAGCUGUCGAAGGUGGGGCUGGUGACUGGGACGAAGUCGUAACAAGGUAACCAAGGGCGAA
rnacentral:rRNA from 1 species